GUGUAAUGUAUAGCUAGGAAUAAUCC
rnacentral:piRNA from 1 species